rnacentral:rRNA from 1 species
UGGGGAAUAUUGGACAAUGGGCGAAAGCCUGAUCCAGCCAUGCCGCGUGUGUGAAGAAGGUCUUCGGAUUGUAAAGCACUUUAAGUUGGGAGGAAGGGCAGUAAGCGAAUACCUUGCUGUUUUGACGUUACCGACAGAAUAAGCACCGGCUAACUCUGUGCCAGCAGCCGCGGUAAUACAGAGGGUGCAAGCGUUAAUCGGAAUUACUGGGCGUAAAGCGCGCGUAGGUGGUUCGUUAAGUUGAAUGUGAAAGCCCCGGGCUCAACCUGGGAACUGCAUCCAAAACAGGCGAGCUAAAGUAGGGCAGAGGGUGGUGGAAUUUCCUGUGUAGCGGUGAAAUGCGUAGAUAUAGGAAGGAACACCAGUGGCGAAGGCGACCACCUGGGCUCAUACUGACACUGAGGUGCGAAAGCGUGGGGAGCAAACAGG